rnacentral:tRNA from 1 species
GCCUGGCUGGCUCAGUCAGUAGAGCGUGCGACUUUUGAUCCCAGGGUUGAGAGUUCGAGCCCCAUGUUCGGUG